rnacentral:rRNA from 1 species
CCUACGGGUGGCAGCAGUGGGGAAUAUUGCACAAUGGGGGAAACCCUGAUGCAGCAACGCCGCGUGAGUGAAGAAGUACUUCGAUAUGUAAAGCUCUAUCAGCAGGGAAGAAGAUGACGGUACCUGACUAAGAAGCCCCGGCUAACUACGGGCCAGCAGCCGCGGUAAUACGUAGGGGGCAAGCGUGAUCCGGAUUUACUGGGUGUAAAGGGAGCGUAGACGGCAUAGCAAGUCUGAAGUGAAAGCCCAGGGCUCAACCAUGGGACUGCUUUGGAAACUGUUAUGCUAGAGUGCUGGAGAGGUAAGCGGAAUUCCUAGUGUAGCGGUGAAAUGCGUAGAUAUUAGGAGGACCACCAGUGGCGAAGGCGGCUUACUGGACCGUAACUGACGUUGAGGCUCGAACGCGUGGGUAGCAAACAGGAUUAGAUACCCUAGUAGUC